UGGUUAGCGCGCCAGAUUGUGGCUCUGGAGGCCAAGGGUUCGAAUCCCUUUAUCCACC
rnacentral:tRNA from 1 species